rnacentral:lncRNA from 1 species
GUUCUUACAAUCUCCCCCUUUUUGAUGAUGACAAAACAACUUAAAUUAGCAGAUGAAACAUGAAUAAAAUUAGAUCAGAUAGACAGAAGCUCCCCCUGAGAUAAUGCUAGGGAGUUCAGAAGUUCUUACCAGAGUUUCUUAAGUAAAGAGGUUUCUGAAACUUUCUGCAAUUUCUUAAGUCCAGGUUAGAUAAUUUUAUUUAUAUGAAAAAUAUGUUGCAGAAUGCUUAAGGUAUUAGACAAUGUUUUCAUCAGAGCUAAUAAUUAC